rnacentral:lncRNA from 1 species
UAAGAAUUUUCAUGUUUUUGAAUGAAUAUGCGAAUAUUGAUAUGUUCUUCCCCUGCAUGAACCGACAUUCAACAUUUAAUUUACAUCACACAAAAGGAUAAACAUAGAAUUAUCAUGGAAUAAGUAUAUCAACAUACAUGGACUACAAUAAAGCAUAGAAUUAGUAACAUAUGAUCUAAAUUAAGAUGUAAAAAGUUUAAAUUAACCUGACAGUUCAAAAAGAAAAAUAAUCACCAUAUGUAGUGAUAAUAUGUUGCGGUAGUUCAUGUAGUCAUAUUCGUUGUUAUUUGUUAUUGCAAAAGGACAAUAAUAUUUUCG